rnacentral:rRNA from 1 species
UACGGAGGGUCCAAGCGUUAUCCGGAUUUAUUAGGUUUAAAGGGUCCGCAGGCGGGAUUUUAAGUCAGUGGUGAAAGCCUACAGCUCAACUGUAGAACUGCCAUUGAUACUGGUUGACUUGAGUCAUAUGGAAGUAGAUAGAAUGUGUAGUGUAGCGGUGAAAUGCAUAGAUAUUACAUAGAAUACCAAUUGCGAAGGCAGAUUACUAAUAAUCAACUGACACUGAUGGACGAAAGCGUGGGUAGCGAACAGG